rnacentral:rRNA from 1 species
GAUGAACGCUAGCUACAGGCUUAACACAUGCAAGUCGAGGGGCAGCAUGAUUGAAGCUUGCUUCAAUCGAUGGCGACCGGCGCACGGGUGAGUAACACGUAUCCAACCUGCCGAUAACUCGGGGAUAGCCUUUCGAAAGAAAGAUUAAUACCCGAUAGCAUAGUAUUUCCGCAUGGUUUCACUAUUAAAGAAUUUCGGUUAUCGAUGGGGAUGCGUUCCAUUAGAUAGUUGGCGGGGUAACGGCCCACCAAGUCAACGAUGGAUAGGGGUUCUGAGAGGAAGGUCCCCCACAUUGGAACUGAGACACGGUCCAAACUCCUACGGGAGGCAGCAGUGAGGAAUAUUGGUCAAUGGACGAGAGUCUGAACCAGCCAAGUAGCGUGAAGGAUGACUGCCCUAUGGGUUGUAAACUUCUUUUAUACGGGAAUAAAGUGGAGUAUGCAUACUCCUUUGUAUGUACCGUAUGAAUAAGGAUCGGCUAACUCCGUGCCAGCAGCCGCGGUAAUACGGAGGAUCCGAGCGUUAUCCGGAUUUAUUGGGUUUAAAGGGAGCGUAGGCGGGUGCUUAAGUCAGUUGUGAAAGUUUGCGGCUCAACCGUAAAAUUGCAGUUGAUACUGGGCGCCUUGAGUGCAGCAUAGGUAGGCGGAAUUCGUGGUGUAGCGGUGAAAUGCUUAGAUAUCACGAAGAACUCCGAUUGCGAAGGCAGCUUACUGGACUGUAACUGACGCUGAUGCUCGAAAGUGUGGGUAUC